ACUUAAGUGUUGUUGGGUAGGGGAGCGUUCUGUAAGCCUGUGAAGGUGUGCUGUGAGGCAUGCUGGAGGUAUCAGAAGUGCGAAUGCUGACAUAAGUAACGAUAAAGCGGGUGAAAAGCCCGCUCGCCGGAAGACCAAGGGUUCCUGUCCAACGUUAAUCGGGGCAGGGUGAGUCGACCCCUAAGGCGAGGCCGAAAGGCGUAGUCGAUGGGAAACGGGUUAAUAUUCCCGUACUUGGUGUUACUGCGAAGGGGGGACGGAGAAGGCUAUGUUGGCCGGGCGACGGUUGUCCCGGUUUAAGCGUGUAGGCUGGUUUUCCAGGCAAAUCCGGAAAAUCAAGGCUGAGGCGUGACGACGAGGCACCACGGUGCUGAAGCAACAAAUGCCCUGCUUCCAGGAAAAGCCUCUAAGCUCCAGGUAACACGAAAUCGUACCCCAAACCGACACAGGUGGUCAGGUAGAGAAUACCAAGGCGCUUGAGAGAACUCGGGUGAAGGAACUAGGCAAAAUGGUGCCGUAACUUCGGGAGAAGGCACGCUGACACGUAGGUGAAGUGAUUUACUCAUGGAGCUGAAGUCAGUCGAAGAUACCAGCUGGCUGCAACUGUUUAUUAAAAACACAGCACUGUGCAAACACGAAAGUGGACGUAUACGGUGUGACGCCUGCCCGGUGCCGGAAGGUUAAUUGAUGGGGUUAUCCUCGCGGAGAAGCUCCUGAUCGAAGCCCCGGUAAACGGCGGCCGUAACUAUAACGGUCCUAAGGUAGCGAAAUUCCUUGUCGGGUAAGUUCCGACCUGCACGAAUGGCGUAAUGAUGGCCAGGCUGUCUCCACCCGAGACUCAGUGAAAUUGAACUCGCUGUGAAGAUGCAGUGUACCCGCGGCAAGACGGAAAGACCCCGUGAACCUUUACUAUAGCUUGACACUGAACAUUGAGCCUUGAUGUGUAGGAUAGGUGGGAGGCUUUGAAGCGUGGACGCCAGUCUGCGUGGAGCCAACCUUGAAAUACCACCCUUUAAUGUUU
rnacentral:rRNA from 1 species